AGGACGAACGCUGGCGGCGUGCUUAACACAUGCAAGUCGAACGGUAAGGCCCCUUCGGGGGUACACGAGUGGCGAACGGGUGAGUAACACGUGAGCAACCUGCCCUUGACAUUGGAAUAACAGUUGGAAACAGCUGCUAAUACCGGGUAUGACCUGUCACCGCAUGGUGGUGGGUGGAAAGCCUUGGCGGUCAGGGAUGGGCUCGCGGCCUAUCAGCUAGUUGGUGAGGUAAUGGCUCACCAAGGCUUCGACGGGUAGCCGGCCUGAGAGGGCGACCGGCCACACUGGGACUGAGAUACGGCCCAGACUCCUACGGGAGGCAGCAGUGGGGAAUAUUGCACAAUGGGCGGAAGCCUGAUGCAGCAACGCCGCGUGCGGGAUGACGGCCUUCGGGUUGUAAACCGCUUUCAGUGGGGACGAAGCUAACGUGACGGUACCUACGAGAAGAAGCACCGGCCAACUACGUGCCAGCAGCCGCGGUAA
rnacentral:rRNA from 1 species